UACGAAGGGGGCUAGCGUUGUUCGGAAUUACUGGGCGUAAAGCGCACGUAGGCGGAUUGUUAAGUCGGGGGUGAAAUCCUGAGGCUCAACCUCAGAACUGCCUUCGAUACUGGCAAUCUCGAGUCCGGAAGAGGUUGGUGGAACAGCUAGUGUAGAGGUGAAAAUUCGUAGAUAUUAGCUAGAACACCAGUGGCGAAGGCGGCCAACUGGUCCGGUACUGACGCUGAGGUGCGAAAGCGUGGGGGAGCAACAGG
rnacentral:rRNA from 1 species